rnacentral:rRNA from 1 species
CCUACGGGGUGCAGCAGUGGGGAAUAUUGGACAAUGGGCGAAAGCCUGAUCCAGCAAUGCCGCGUGUGUGAAGAAGGUCUUCGGAUUGUAAAGCACUUUCGACGGGGACGAUGAUGACGGUACCCGUAGAGGAAGCCCCGGCUAACUUCGUGCCAGCAGCCGCGGUAAUACGAAGGGGGCUAGCGUUGCUCGGAAUGACUGGGCGUAAAGGGCGCGUAGGCGGUUUAUGCAGUCAGAUGUGAAAUCCCCGGGCUUAACCCGGGAACUGCAUUUGAGGCGCAUAGACUAGAGGUCGGGAGAGGGUUGUGGAAUUCCCAGUGUAGAGGUGAAAUUCGUGGAUAUUGGGAAGAACACCGGUGGCGAAGGCGGCAACCUGGCUCGAUACUGACGCUGAGGCGCGAAAGCGUGGGGAGCAGACAGGAUUAGAUACCCCCGUAGUC